GUAGAGCACCUGUCGGCAUCUUGCUUGCCGUAGGCUGGGUCACGUUGCGCCUGGGCGUCCAUUUCCGCUUCCGUGCGGUGACAGGCUCUUGCUUGCCGGAGGCUGGGUCACGUAGCUCCUGUGCGUCUAUUUCCGCUUCUGUGCAGUGAUAGGGCUCACUUGGAUGUUGCUGCUGGCUGCGCGCUGCUCAUCGAUACAUAGCCGAUGCCGCCUACUGAACUGUCGCUUUUGUAUAGCGUCCCGUUCCCUGCUCCACGCCACGUUGGCCGGGACUGCCCGAUUGGGUGGCCGACAGUAGCGGCGCAGCGGCGGCCAAUCCACCUAUAAAAACCACUGCUGCUUUGCUUGCACGUUAUUACCGCCUUGCCAGGGCCAGCUCGGACCCGAUCGCAUUGCCGUUCAUUCGGCUAGCGAUAGUUUGUUCCUUUUCCUGUUGUGUCGCUAUCUCUUUUGUUUAGUUGGUGCCACUACAUAUUAAAGUGUGUGUGUUAUGUUAUGCAAGAGUUUUUGCUGAUUUCUCCUUGUUUACUUAUUAUAGUUUUUUUUUGUUUAUUUAAUUAAUUUCUCUUAUUUCCAUUAUGUUUUCUAACUGGUUGCUCUGCGAUCCCCCUCAAUUCAGGUGCUGAGCCUACGGUGGUGGACUGGUGUCCUGGUCACGGUGUCCCUUUUGUAUUGUGUUUGCAUUUGGUUUAUUUUUCAUUUGUUUUACGUGUGGUGUUCCUGGGACCCCCUUUCCUUUGGAUGCAGGUGUUCACAGUAGGUCUCAGCACUGAUUGGAUCUUAUGCCGCUUUUCCACUGCAUGGUACCAACUCGACACGACUCGACUCGACUCGACUCAGCUCGCCUUUUUUGCGUUUCCACCGCGAUCUAGUACCUCAAGUGGCUGCUUUUUCUAGUACCGCCUCGCUCUAGGUUCCAAGCGGCUGAGCCGAUACCAUAAGGUGACGUCGGCAGACGGCCGGCCACUGAUUGGCCAGAGAAUGUGACGAUGUCACGAGAGCGACAUGGCAACCAUGCUGGUAACAGCCAUAACAGCGCCGCAGCCAACAUAUAUUCCACUUCUUCAACUUCUUCAACAUGACAACUAGUAAGUCAACACAGUGGUCCAUUGCUGAGGUGCAGACGCUUCUGUGUCUUGUGGCCGAGGAUAGAAUUCAGAAAGAGCUGGACGGAGCCACCCGUAAUGAAAAGGUUUAUAAGGAGGUCGCUAAGUUGAUGCAAGACAAUGGUUACAUCAGGUCUUACGUGCAGUGUCGAGAUAAGCUCAAAAAACUUAAAAGCGACUAUAAAGCCAUUAAGGACCAGAACGGCAGGAGUGGGUCGAACCGAAAAUCGUGGAAGUGGUACGACCAAAUGGACGCCAUUUACGGCCACAGACCGGCAAACAACGGGAGGGAGAGUGGCAUCGACUCGGCCAUGAGUUUGUUGGAGGAAAUUAAUAAUAAUGACUUCCUAUCUACAAACGAAGAAGGCGGUUUGGUCGACAGUGAUGAACCCCCAGCAGCAGCUUCAACAACGCCACCGCCCACAGAACCACCUUCUCCAGCGUCCAGCACUAGCACCAGCACCAGCACCACUGACAAGAGAAAAAGGAGCCUGUCGCAACAGGAGCACUCGGCUCAAGUGACGGACUGUCUCAGAGAAAUGCACUCCGAUGACAUCGCCCAACAGGAUCGUGCCCGGGCCCAGCGUGACGACCACCUCCAGCUGCUCCUCAUUGACGCCCGAGAAGCGAGGGAGCAGGAAGCAUCAUUGAGGAGAGAGGAGGCGGCACAGACUUCAGAGUUCCACCGAUCGUUCCUUGGUGUGUUCGGCCAACUGGUGGAGGCAAUGCGUGACCGACGUGUUUGAACCACUCCCCCAGCCCCAGAUUCUCUAGUCAAGUUUAUAUUAUAUUAUAAAUAUAAUAAUUAUUCCACUUUUUUGUAAAUAGUUUAUAUUCCACCUUUUUGUAAGAAGUUUAUGUUCCAUCUUUGUGUUUAAAAGUUUGCUGUGCUGCACUGAUUUGCUCCUAUUCUGUUUUAAUAAAUUAUAAGUAACUUAUGUGAUCGUUUCAUGAUUUUCUAAUUCAUCUGUCAUUACACUGGUAGGAAAAGUCAUUACACACAAAAUAAAUAACUAGUAAUUGUUCUUUACCCUCUUUUGGAUUGUGAGGUGCUCAAGUGCCGUCUGUAAAAAGGCAAUAGGAAGUCUAUUAACAUAAGGUAAUAUCAUACUGGGGCAUAAUGUGGCAAAGUUAUAAAAGGUAUUGAAAAAUAUAUACCGCCCAACCUACACCUGGCUGAAUCUUUGCAAAGAAGCUGCAAUCAUAUUCUAAGAUUUUACCAAAUAAUGGUGUAAAUGUUUAAAUAUAAACUUUAAGUGAUAGGACCAGUGCUGUCCUUUUCCCCUAUACAUUAAUUAGGGUUCAGAAAGAAACCAGACCCAGUUCACAUUUUUUAAAGGGUGUCUAGUGUAUUUUCCCUUCAAAUGUUACUCGAUUUUUCUUAAAUCUUUUAGCAUUUAAUGCCAGUAAAUCUUGGUAACCUUUACAAAUGAUAAAACAAAAGUGGAGACAUGUAUGAAAAGUAUAAAAGUUUAAUGUUUUCACAACAUACAAAAUGUGAUGUGUAUACCUACAUGGCAAAUUCAAAAUGUAUUAUAACAUUAAUUAUUCGCCAACAAGAACUGCAUUAGACCCUCCCGUACAUUGAUGCCCUCAACAUCCUGUGCCACUGCCACCCCAGGCUCUGCUGGUUGUACAUCCAACUCGGUCAACUCGGUCUCAUAAGUCUCUCCAUGAUUUUCACAAAGGUUGUGCAGAGCACAGCAAGUCAUAACCAUAGACUUAACCAGUUGGAGAUCAGAGUCGUUCCUUUUCAGGAGGCACCGCCACCUUCCUUUAAGCCGGCCAAAAGCGUUUUCAACAACCACCCUUACUCGACUGAAUUUUCUGUUGAACAUCUGCUGUUCUGCUGUUAGUCGUCCUGUGUCUUGGAAGGGUUUCAAGAGCCAGUUCUGCAAAGGAUAUGCUGAGUCUCCUAGGAUGUAAUAGCCAGCAGUCACCCCUCCAAUGUUCCUGGUGCGAGCUGGGAAGUGGUUCCCUCGGCUGGCUAACUCCCACAGUUUGGACACUCUCAGAACCCUGGCAUCAUGCAUGCUCCCUGCCAGUCCAGCAAACACGUUCCAAAACAGCCCCUUUCCAUCGACAACACCUUGAAGGAGGAUGGAGUGCCAGCCUUUACGGUUGAAGAAGUCACAAUGAUAGUCCUGUGGUGCAAGGAUUGGUAUGUGUGAUCCAUCGAUCGCACCAACACAGUGUGGGAGCCCCCACCUGUUCUCAAUGUAGGUAGCCAUUUCGUGGAACUUCACCUCGUCUGGAUAACGGAUUUGUUCUGGCACCAACAAUGUCUCUGCUGCAGCACAAAAAUCCUGCACACACCGGCACACAGUUGUGAUGCUGACUCCAAAGAGAUGUCCAAUACUCCUAUACUCGGAGCCAGUAGCGAGCUUCCACAGUGCAAUGGCCACUCUCUUCUUCAGGGGCACACAUCCGCGGAAAUUGGUGUCUUGCCGCUCCAAAACUGGACGCAGUUUGUUGGUCAAGAAGCCAAACGUUUCUUCAGACAUCCUGAAGUUCUCCACCCACUGCUCGUUGGUGAAGCCGGGAACAAUCACAUCCCACCAUUCCGAGGAUCGGUUGUGCGCCCAGACCGAUGGUUUGCGGCGGAAAUGUUGUGACGAGAGUAGCAUCUGAAAGACACACACACACAGGCUAAAUAUUUUAGUACUUAUAGAAAUGGCUUGCAAUCAUUAAAACGUUGUACACUGGACUUAUUUUGUACGAGCUAGCUAGCAUUAGCAACAGUUAGCUUACCUGGAUGCGUCUUUUCUUGGAGGCUUGAUUCCUCUCAUCUUCGGCUUCACACUGUUGAAUAUACUCCAACACUCUCCGGGACUUUUCGAGUGUAUUUUGUCUCGCCGCGUGCAGCCUUCUCUGACUCUCUUCUCCUUUGUGUCUUAUAAAAAGCACCAGACCGAGCAGCACGAAUACCAUUGCUUCGAUGUCCUCCAUUGUUUGUUAUGGGGAUUCUGUCCACGCGUGGGUUGGGUAGGUCUUGUUUGCGUCGCGUACAAAAAUACGUCACGGCCCUUUCGCGCAGCCGACCCCGCCCACGUCCCGGAGGUACUAUUUGCGGUGGAAACGCACCCGCGCUGCUACCGUGUCGAGUCGUGUCGAGUCGUGUCGUGUCGA